UGAAGGCCUUCGGGUUGUAAACUGCUUUUGUACGGAACGAAACGGUCUGCCUUAAUACGGUGGGCUAAUGACGGUACCGUAAGAAUAAGCACCGGCUAACUACGUGC
rnacentral:rRNA from 1 species